AUGUCUGCAGCCAUCUGCCUCUUGUGUUCAUAUCUGUAUGAGUCUGUUCAUACGGGAACAUGUGGCACCGUCAAGAGGAAUGAUGGCUUAGCUGAAUAUAAAGUGAGCCCUGUGGCCCAGAGAAGAAGAGAAUUCAGUUUUCUUUGUAAGCUCGCUUGCAGAGAUCCCUGGCUUCAUCUGCUAAGCUCUAAGAGAACAGUGCAUCCAACCGAAGGCUUCCUGAUUGAGUGCUCACCAAACAUCAUACUUCACCCGUAAUGCUCACCUGCGGAUGCUGGCACAUGAGGCAUUACAGAACCAGAGUGUUCCUCUACCUAUUAGAUCUGAUUAAUUAUCCUGAUAAAGGCUUGAUUUUCAUAAUAAAUUAGACAUAAUGGAAAAUACA
rnacentral:lncRNA from 1 species